rnacentral:rRNA from 1 species
GGGCGUAAGCGCGCGUAGGCGGUUUCUUAAGUCUGAUGUGAAAGCCCACGGCUCAACCGUGGAGGGUCAUUGGAAACUGGGAAACUUGAGUGCAGAACAGGAAAGUGGAAUUCCAUGUGUAGCGGUGAAAUGCGCAGAGAUAUGGAGGAACACCAGUGGCGAAGGCGACUUUCUGGUCUGUAACUGACGCUGAUGUGCGAAAGCGUGGGGAUCAAACAGGAUUAGAUACCCCCGUAGUCCA